GACGGCGAUGCACAUGAGCAGGCCACACUUGUUCAGGAAGUAGCAGGUGACAUCCACGGCCACCAGCAGCAGGACGAAGGUGACGACGAGGAUGCCCACGAUGGCGCCCGUGCUCAGGCCUGAGGAGCCGCUCCAGAGGAUCCCGACUUUGGACCAUAUCCUUCUUCAUUGCACCAGGAAGACGAAUGAAGCUCACUUACUCUGGAGAUAUGGGGGCCUCGCUAGGCCCAGAGGGCAAGGUGGAAGGUCAGGGAAUACUCACCAUCUGGGAGCCAGGCACGCUUGGAUCAGAUUUCAAGAAACCCAGCCGACUCACCCAGAGAUGCACCCACGCACGACAGGCUCACUCACACAGGACACGUGCCUACCACAGACGGACACACAUUCUCACCUUUGAGCAGCGCCCAGCAUCCCCGCUCUAGCUGGACUCACUGGAAUGACUCAACCUCUGUGUCUUACUCCCUGGUGUCCAUCUAGAAUCCCCUGGGGGCCCUGGGCUAUUGAUGGUAUCACAGAAGGACCCCAGGCUCGGCUCCAUAGGGCCCCCUCGUGAUUGGUGCUAGGCGCCUGCGGUGGACCCCUGACCGCUUGGUGAUUCCCACCAGCAUCUGGCAGGCGGAAGGCUGUGCUGGGGGAAGCAAGGACCCAUGCAGAGCUCUGUGGAAGCCAGUGUGGAAAACAUGACCCCAGGCUGAAAAGUGGGUACCCUGCUUCAUUUUUCUUCUGGGGGGACAGGGUUCCAGAGGGGCAGCCCCAUCGUACCACCAGACCUUGUCUGAAGCUUCCUGUGUCCUCCGGACCCACUUGGGUCACCCAGGUGUGUUGACUGGAGGCAGGAACUGUGGCCAACACAACCUGGGUCUCACUGGGCCUUUGCUGAAUCUGGGCCAGGCCCAGGGGCCUCUGGCCACAUCACGUGCCAAAUAAUGGAAAGAAUAGGUAACCCAAGGUGACAGAGAUGGGCCACACACUCUGUCUCCAUGUGGUUUGUGCUCCUGGGAGGCCCUCUGUGUGUCCCAGGGGCCCUGCUCAGGCGUGGCGGGGCUCCUUCAACUGCUGUCCUAUUCUGAUGGCCCUUAUUUCUAACUUCAAUUCAGUGUAUAGGCCACUGGCCAGCACAUAAGAGACGACCACUCACAACCUAAUUCCUGGCACCCAGGGCUCAGCUGGGCCUGCGCUGGAGGAACCUCCUAGGAUCUUGAAUAUUUUUGCCUCCUUGGGACCUUGCUCUUGCUUCCCAGCCCCUCCUCAGGCUCCCCCACUGGUCCCUUUCAACCCCACACUGAAGACACAGCCUGUUCCCCAGGAAGGCCCGAGUCUGGCAACGGGCUCCAUGCUCAGAGGACCCAGCUCUGACCACUCUGUCUCUGGGCUUUGGCAGCAGGAAACCGGCCACGGGUCCCUGCGGUCAGCUAGAGCCGGUCUUCUCCCCAGUAGCACACCGUCCACUCUGCUCCCCCAUGGCGCUCACACAUCCACACACAAAAGCAAAGAAAGCCACUAAGGCCUUCCUGGUCUUCAGAAUACCAAAGCUGCUUCCCUGAACAGGGAAGAAAUACGGCCUUGGGCUUCCUCCCCAUCCCAUGACUCAGGGCUGGAGGCCACCUGACACCCAUACCCAAUAGUGUCUACUUCCUGCAGAAGGAGCCUAAGGUAUUUUUGUGGGGAAAGAAUGUCUGUAUUUUUGGACUCAAAGGCACUAACACCAUGUUCUGAGGUUUAUACAUAAAUAUGGUUUUAGGGAACUAGUCAGGUCUCUAAGGAAGAAAAGCAAACCACUGCAAAGCUUCUCCGUGUGGGAGAAGCAGCUGUUAUCCACCUGUGCUCUGGGCUCAGCAGACCCAUCAGAGGGCUGCACUGCUCUGAAGGCCAAGGCCAACACCUCCAAGGGCCAGGAGGGCAACGAGACUGAUAUAAAACAGAAGGUAGGGCAAUGGUCUUCUCUCUCAUUUGAUAUAAAAUUCAAAUUCUUUCCCUUGGUCUAAAAGGUAUUACACGUGCUGUGGACUCUCCCACUCCUCUGACCAUCAUAACUCAGGGCACUGAGCCCUGCCUCCAAUCCCUGUGCUCUAGCCGGGAGCAGCUCCAUUCUAUCUGCUCACCACGCCCAGCCCGUUCCUGUCAUAGUGCCUGGAACCCUCCAGCCCCGGCACCCUGUGGUGGCUCUUUGCUUUCUUGCAGGUUCAGCUCAAAUGUCACCUUCUUGCAGAGGUUCCCCCCUCCCCUGCCCCGACCUCUUAUCUACUCAGGCACCUCUACCCAGUACCUACCACAUUACCCUGUUUUAUGCUCCUCUUACCCCUAUCUGUCAUUUUCUGUUCAUUGACAUGCUUUUAUCUGGCUGCCCCGCCCUCUAGAAUAUCCUGGCAGGUACCCUGUCUCUUGUCUCCCCAGCAUCUAGGACAACCCAACUUAUAAGAAAUGUUCAAAGAAUAUUUGUUGAACAAAGGAACAGUGUUCAGCCUUGGAGAUGAGAACACUGUCUCCAAAUAUUUAAAGGUGUGUCAUGAGAAGGAAGCAGCCUUAUUCAGUGUCCCUAGUGGAUGGCAACUAUGGGGGUAGGAGGCAAACUUGAGCUCACGCGAGACAGAACUAACACACAAGAGCUAUUUAAGUGUGGUGUGAGCUGCCUUGGAAGAGCUCCCUGUUGCCAGAGGCAUUCAAGAAGAGGCUGGAAAAUCCCUUGGCCGGGAUACCAUAAUGCUCUGGAUGAGGUUCCUGCACUGGGCAGAGCCUAGGAUAGAGGAUGUCUUCAGGUCCUCUUCAACUCUAAGGGCCUGUCAUUGCAUGUUAGAUGUCCUACAGUCCCCAGCACAGGGUACAGAUUCCCUAAUGUCCAUGUCCUCCACAGGGUGUACCGAGCAGGACUUUUUCCUGCAAGACAAUUGGUAGGUCCCAUCUUUAUUCAUUGAGUCUUAUGAUUUUAUCUUUAGUUGAAAAAUAAAUACCUUUCAGCAUAAUGUUUCUCCACCUGCAGCAGAAUUCCUGGGGUGCUUUGUUAAGAAUUCAGAUUCUGGGGUUCCCCCAUUCUACCAAGUCAGAAUCUCUGGGGCUGAGGCUCAGGCUCAGGAUUUGAUGGAGCACCCCAGCGAUUCUUAUGCACCCCAGACUUUGAGGACCACUGUUUCUAAGUUUUCUGCCUGCAUUACAAUGAAUAACAGCUGUUCCUAUGACUCCCCACCCAAGGAUGAGCUGUGCAGUCUUACCUGGUGGCCCUGACCUAACUGAUGUACUUGAUGGAUGGAGAGAAAAAAGACUUAUCCCCAAGGGACCACCCAGUUCACCAUUAAGAGUCUAGACUUCCAGAGGAAGUGAGGUACCCCUCAAGCUGGAGAAAGGAUGUGUGGAGCUUUUACAAAAAACUGUAAAUAAAGGAAACAGAGAAUGCAAAUGAAAGGGUACCCAAGUCAAGCCAACAUUCAUUACCUCUUGGUGGCUGCUAUAGAAUUGUUUAGUCCAGGAAACCAGAAGGACAAAGGUUAUCUCCUGCAUCCUGCUUAACAUUUGACAAAAGGAAAAGAAAACAACUUUGGGGUCUAUCUUUGCAUGACCCUCCCCUGACCUCUCCUGGCUACCCCAUCUGCACACCUGCAUACAUAGAGUGCUUCUGGGGAGCAGUUCCUCCACAACCUCUGGGCUUAGAGCUGCGCUGAACGGUAGGGCUAUGAAGCUGGGGCUGCACAUCCUCUGUGGUUCCUGGUCUGGGAGGUGUCGGCACUGAACACCUGGCUUGCCCAAGACUGAGACCUACAAGUGCCUAUGCUCAUAAAUGCCUCAAAAUGGGAAGACAUCUCCCAUCUUGCAGUUGAGGGGGCCCAAGUCACUGUGUCACGGGACAUCAGUGCAGAAGUGCCCCCUCCCGCCUCCGACUCUCGGAAAAAUUAAGCUGAGGUUCUGGUUCACUCGUCUGCUUGUUCCUUCCUGGAAUCUGCUGAAUAGACGGCUGGUCUCGGGGCUUUCAGGAGGCAUCCAACUAAGUGUGAUUAUAAACAGAAUAGGGCUUGCCAAUGAGACCUUUCUCUUAGAUUCUCUCUGUCACCACGUCACUCUGUGAAGCCUCGGAUAUGAAGUCGUUACGGGAGCCGUGCAAUCGCGAGAACUUGCAACACAGUUGUGGUUCUGGUGGCCCAGAGUGUGCCCCUGAUCCCAAGGUGACCACCUUCUGGCUCCGCAAAGGCACUUUCCCCUCGCCCUGUCUGCUGGGGAAAGUCCAAGGAGGCGGUGACCCACAGCAGCUCUUAGGAGAGCUGAGAAAACUGCAUCACUCCUCAUGAGGAAGGGAAAGUGAUUCCUUUGACUAGAACUCCACUCAGCAAGCUACGAGUUUGGGGUCCAAUUUAAAGGGCUCUCUGGGGCAAUCAAAGUAAUCCAGGUACCUGUGAGGUGGAGGCAAAGGGAUUUUGGCACUUUGUAGGAUACACAACUAUCAAAUAAAAUCCAAACACGCUGGUGAGUUCA